GUGUCAGCCGCCGCGGUAAGACGAACCGUGCGAACGUUGUUCGGAUUCACUGGGCUUAAAGGGCGCGUAGGCGGUACGCCAAGUCUGGGGUGAAAUCUUUCGGCUCAACCGGAAAAUUGCCUGGGAUACUGGCGUGCUCGAGGGAGGUAGGGGCAGCGGGAACUGCCAGUGGAGCGGUGAAAUGCGUUGAUAUUGGCAGGAACGCCGGUGGCGAAAGCGCGUUGCUGGACCUCUUCUGACGCUGAUGCGCGAAAGCUAGGGGAGCAAACGGGAUUAGAAACCCGCGUAGUCC
rnacentral:rRNA from 1 species